rnacentral:rRNA from 1 species
UACGAAGGUCCCAAGCGUUAUCCGGAUUUAUUGGGUUUAAAGGGUGCGUAGGCGGGUUAUUAAGUCAGUGGUGAAAGCCUUCAGCUUAACUGAAGAAUUGCCAUUGAUACUGAUGAUCUUGAGUAUGAUUGAGGUGGGCGGAAUGUGUCAUGUAGCGGUGAAAUGCUUAGAUAUGACACAGAACACCGAUUGCGAAGGCAGCUCACUAAGUCAUAGCUGACGCUGAUGCACGAAAGCGUGGGGAGCAAACAGG